AAGGUAGAGUAUGAUAGUGUAGGGGUAGAGUGAGGUAGGGUAUAAUAGAGUGAGGGUCCAUUGAGGUAGAGUGAGGUAGCGCAUGAUAGAGUGAAGGUAGUGAGGUGGAGUAUGGUAGAUUGAAGGUAGAGUGAGGUAGAGUAUGAUAGAGUGAGGUAGGGUAAAGGUAGAGUGAGAUGGAGUAUGAUAGGGUAAGAUAGAGUGAAGUAGAGUAUGAUAGUGAUGUAGAGCGAAGAUGGAGUGAGGUAGAGGGAGAUGCAGAGCAAUAUAGAUUAUGGAACAUUACCUCCCUCUAUAUUCUUCUGCCUCCUUCUACCUCACCUCGAUUUAAAGUAUGAUAGAGUGAGGGAGAGCAUAAUAGAGUGAGGAUAGAGUGUGGUAAAGUAUGGUAGAGUGAGGUAGAGUAUGAUAGAGUAAGAGUAGCAUAUGAUAGAGUGAGGUAGAGCAUAAUGGAGUGAGGAUAGAGUGUGGUAGAGUAUGGUAGAGUGAGGUAGAGUAUGAUAGAGUGAGGUAGAGUAUGAUAGAGUGAGAUAGAGCAUAAUGGAGUGAGGAUAGAGUGUGGUAGAGUAUGGUAGAGUGAGGUAGAGUAUGAUAGAGUGAGGUAGAGCAUAAUGGAGUGAGGAUAGAGUGUGGUAGAGUAUGGUAGAGUGAGGUAGAGUAUGGUACAGUGAGGUAGAGUAUGAUAGAGUAAGAUAGAGUAUAAUGGAGUGAGGAUAGAGUGAAGUAGAGUAUGAUGGAGUGAGGUAGAGUAUGAUAGAGUGAGGUAGAGUAUAAUAGAGUGAGGUAGAGUAUGAUAGAGUGAGGUAGAGUAUAAUAGAGUGAGAUAGAGUAUGAUAGAGUGAGAGUAGCAUAUGAUAGAGUGAGAUAGAGCAUAAUGGAGUUAGGAUAGAGUGUGGUAGAGUUUGAUAGAGUGAGGCAGAGUGAAGUAGAGUAUGAUAGAGUGAGGUAGAGUAUGAUAGAGUGAGGUAGAGUGAGGUAGAGUAUGAUAAAGUGAGGUAGAGUAUGAUAGAGUGAGGUAGAGUAUGAUAAAGUGAGGUAGAGUGAGGCAGAGUGAGGUAGAGUAUGAUAGAGUGAGGUAGAGUAUGAUAGAGUGAGGUAGAGUAUGAUAGAGUGAGGUAGAGUGAGGUAGAGUAUGAUAGAGUGUGGCAGAGUAUGGUGCAGUGAGGUAGAGUAUGAUAGAGUGAGGUAGAGUAUGAUAAAGUGAGGUAGAGUAUGAUAGAGUGAGGUAGAGUAUGAUAGAGUGAGGUAGAGUGAGGUAGAGUAUGAUAGAGUGUGGCAGAGUAUGGUGCAGUGAGGUAGAGUAUGAUAGAGUGAGGUAGAGUAUGAUAAAGUGAGGUAGAGUAUGAUAAAGUGAGGUAGAGUAUGAUAGAGUGAGGUAGAGUAUGAUAGAGUGAGGUAGAGUGAGGUAGAGUAUGAUAGAGUGAGGUAGAUGCCCACAGUGAACACUCACACAAAAUUAUUUCUUAUCCUGGAAAUAUAAAGACCCACAUAGGUGCAGCAAGUGUGGAACCAAUCAGUGGAUCCCUAUUUUUCAAAGUCCUUUCACUGAUUGGCUGAGCCUGGUUUGUAUGUGUUCCAUACCUAUGAGCAUUCCAAAUCUGCAAAUCUCUUUCCUAACAUUUCUGCACAGGAAAGCCACUAGGACCUUCAGCUCCUCAGAACCUCAAAACCAUCCCACCCUGCAGUGGUGAAGAGUGGAAUACCUGUUUAACUAAGUGCCUCAACACUUCAUUCCAAGGAUACCGUUCUCCUCCUGCCUUUUCCUGGAUGUUCUGUACGUUCUGGACAUCUGACUCCCGUUUUCAUCACUCUGAUCCAUCUGGAUUAAGAUUUCCCUCAUUUUAUCCAAAAGUUUUUUUAUGAUACAAACCAUACAGCAGAUGUGAACAUGGUAAAUGGAUUAUAACCCAACGUGAUCCUGAAGCCACAGCAGGUACAACACUUCUUACAUUUUUCAAAGACUUCAAAGAUCUUGCUCGCUCACAUUUUCCAAACAGGACGUUGGUAUAAUAUGGAUUUUAUACUCAUUUUUCACUUUCUCGUUCUCACAACACCUCCUGCAUUGUAGAUGCUGUGAUGUACAUACAGUAUAAGGACUUCUGUGAUGUUAAAUCCACUCAGUUUUGAAUAUUUUUAUAUAUACCCACACCUGGCACCUGUUCGAUUCAUCCACUCUUUACUGUCGGACUUUGCACAGAUCAUUUCACAGAUCUGGGGUUUCAUACUGGGCUGUACAACAAAUCAUAUUUUAUUGUUAUCUCGAUAUUCUCGAGUUUUCAUCAUUAACACAUCAAAAAAGCUGUGAUAACACCGUGUAUAACAGUGAACUCAAACUGCAUUAC